CCGCGCAGCGUCUGGGAUCGCGGGGUGCGUGUGCAGCAUGGCGGGCUGCGGAGGCCCGGGGCUGCGGAGCCCGGCCUGUCCUCGGGCUCUUCCAGGUGCGGAUCCCGCGGUCUGUCCACCCGUCGGUGCGGAGCGGGGCUCGCAGCUGACGGCGCCGGUCCCUUGCCGGGUGCAACAAAACCUGUGUCUUGAAGAUGCUUGAACAAAUGUUUUCCAAAAACUUGUCAUGGAAAGUGAUGUAAACAAGCCACCAAGAGGACAGUUGCCAGUAAAAAGCACAUUGGUGGCUGCAGGUGAACGUCCAAUGUCAGUAACUGUGAUGUUUACAAACACUUCAUUGUUCUGGAUGCGGCACACGUUUGGAAUGUAAAAUGAAGAAUUGGUCAAGAAACUGAGCAGAAGCAAGUGAUGAGAAUUAGUAUUUUAUUUUAUUUGAUAGUAAUAAACAAUAAAUUAUGUAGAAAUAAAAAGCU